UUGCAAUGUACCACAGAGCUGAAGAACAGAUAUGGAAGUCAUCAAAAUAUCAAUAACAUGUGUAGGUACAAUUUCCCAGGGAAAUGAGUAGGGUGAGAAGAGAACCCAGAGCAGAAUGUGGAACCCAAGGAAGACUAUGACACAGAUUGUAGAAGAUUCCAUGAAAUAAACAGAAGUAGAACCCAGGGAUAUAGGAGGUAACUAGAAGAUGGCUGAGUCAUAGCAAAGAAAAUGAUGUUUUAAGAAGGAAAGUGUUAUGGUUCGAAUGUGGUUUGUCCCCGCCAAAACUUAAGUUAAAAUUUAAUUGCCAAUGUAAUCACAUUGGGACGUGAGGCCUUCAAGAGGUGAUUAGGCCAGUAAGAAGAAGAAUUAAUGCCUUUCUCACAAGACCAGUUUAGGAUUUCUGCAGUGUGAAGUACCAAGUGAUGGUCUCCUGUGAAUCUUCGUGUGCCACGGCACCACCACAUAUGUGAUGUUCAUAUGGAAGACCCUGUGAGCAGCUGGUUGGUGGGAGGCCCUAGUGGCUGGCGCGACACAACCCGGGUCAUUGUGCCAAUAGCAGAACUCAUACCUCAUCUUGCAUGGCCACUCAGCCACACCUGUCCCAGAGACUCCACCCUUCACCUGCACUUGCCCUUGCAGACAGUCCUUGAGUCACAAAGAAAGCAUUGGAAGAAUCAGAUAAGAAAAUUAUGGAAUGACUGUUUGCAGAAUCUGUGUUGACUUAGAGCAAGUUGCAAAUGGGAGACAUAAGGAGCAGAAGCAGGCAGGCCAUGCUGAGAACAGAGAAAGCCAGGGCUUGUUUGAUCUCCUUGGUUCACUGCUUGCCUGAUAUCCUGUAAAUAAAUGGG
rnacentral:lncRNA from 1 species